AUUUCAAAACGAGCGUUUAAUCGACCGAAAAACAGAUACGGCAACGCAGUCACAUAUAAUGAUUCUCGCGUCAUUUUGUCUGGUGACGAAAAAUCAGAUUACAUCAAUGCUUCGUACAUCAACGGAUUGUUAGCGAAUUAUUACAUCGCCACACAAGGUAA